GCUGGGCAAAGUGGUGCAUGCCUGUAAUCCCAGCGGUUUGGGAGGCUGAGGCAAGAGGAUCGCAAGUUCAAAGUCAGCCUCAGCAACUUAGCGAGGCUCUAAGCAACUCAGUGAGAUCCUGUCUCUA
rnacentral:sRNA from 1 species